GUUUCCGUAGGNGAACCUGCGGAAGGAUCAUUA
rnacentral:rRNA from 1 species